ensembl:piRNA 21ur-4221 ncRNA
AUAUAUAUGGUAUGAGACAAG